CGUGUUCCCGCCGUGUGCCGCCCCAGCGCUGCAGAGCGCAGACCCCACCAACCCGACGAGAAAACCCCCAAUGACCACAGACUCUAGUCAGGGUAACCGACCCCCCUCUUUGUGAUGGGCUGAGGAGUCCGGCUGCCAAGUGGACCCGGGCCACCUCCUCAGCUGGUAGAAACGGACACAGCUCUCCUGAAGUCAAUGGAGCUAUUCUGAUCUACAGCCGUUUGUCUAGCUUGUACUCUCCAUCCACCUUGCAGCAGCUUCUCUCAGUUCUAUGCCGCUGCCACGACUCUGGAACCUGGUGCACAAACCUGCUCGUUGGAGGAUUGCUUCUCUAAGGGAUUGGACAGGAGGCCUCUGGGCAGC